rnacentral:tRNA from 1 species
GCCUAGAUAGUUUAGUAAAAAUAUCAAGUUGUGGACUUGAAGACGCUUAUGCUUUGGGUU